GAUGAACGCUGGCGGCGUGCCUAAUACAUGCCAGUCGAGCGAACAGACGAGGAGCUUGCUCCUCUGACGUUAGCGGCGGACGGGUGAGUAACACGUGGAUAACCUACCUAUAAGACUGGGAUAACUUCGGGAAACCGGAGCUAAUACCGGAUAAUAUAUUGAACCGCAUGGUUCAAUAGUGAAAGACGGUUUUGCUGUCACUUAUAGAUGGAUCCGCGCCGCAUUAGCUAGUUGGUAAGGUAACGGCUUACCAAGGCGACGAUGCGUAGCCGACCUGAGAGGGUGAUCGGCCACACUGGAACUGAGGCACGGUCCAGACUCCUACGGGAGGCAGCAGUAGGGAAUCUUCCGCAAUGGGCGAAAGCUUGACGGAGCAACGCCGCGUGAGUGAUGAAGGUCUUCGGAUCGUAAAACUCUGUUAUUAGGGAAGAACAAAUGUGUAAGUAACUAUGCACGUCUUGACGGUACCUAAUCAGAAAGCCACGGCUAACUACGUG
rnacentral:rRNA from 1 species